GGGUUGCUUAGUUCCUUUCUUCAGUUUUAGAUUUUUUUUUUGCUAAAUUAUACAUCGAGCAUGUUUUAUAAAAAUUUUAUCUAAAUUUAAGCUGAUUCAAGUCAUUUACAAAUUCUGAGACAAAACAUUUGAUACUACAUAGUAUGGCUAUGCAGUUAUGAAGCAAAAGUUUGUUUUCUUAUACAAAAGUUUGUUUUCUUAUACAAUUAUGCCGCUAACAAUAAUAAUUAUGGAGACUAUAGUAGCCUAACUGCAUUACCUAGAAAUCAGUUCUCAUACAGAAUACCCAAAGGACGACAGAAAGAGACUUGACAAUCCUGACAAAAGAAAAAAAAAGACAGAAAGAGACUGAUGAAAUUUGUCCACACAUUUCAACACUCCAUGUUUAUCUGCUGGAAGAUAAUGUUAGAAAAUGACGUAUUGCCAAGUUCACCAACAAUGAAAGUCAGCAGAAAACGCCGUAUGUCAAGAAACUUUGCUAAGAAGAUGUUCAAGUACUCUAAGAGACGCUUUAAUCUGCUUAAAUAAACAUGUCAGCUAUCAAUCUACAGAUAGAGGAUGAUCAUUUCAAAAAACAGCCAAAGAGCUUGCAAGCAACCUGCUGCUGGCCCAGACUGUGGUCAGUUCUUCUGCUGGUCAUUGCGCUGACACUGCUUCCGGUUUCACUGUUUGGAGAGAAAGGAGUAUUCAUAGUCAGCAGUGAAAAGGUUGUUGGCCUCCACAAACAAUGCAUCAAGAAUCAGACAACAGGAGAGUUAGAAUGUUUCAACUAUCAGAGCAUGAAAAUGAAUAUUAACAACAAAGGAAUUGUUAGUUCAAAGUGUUUGAUAUAUGCGACACUUGUGUUCUGUUUGUUUGCAUUGCUAUCUUUUGCAUUAGAUAUCUGGAUUCAAGAUAGAUCUGACAGGAGCACAUGGAAAUGUGGCUUUUACCUUGUGGUGAUUGCAGCAGCACUCCUGUUUGCAGGGCUUGUGACUUUUCUGCUGUUUGCUGCUAAACACAUUCAUUUUGCUGAUUUUGGGUUGGCAUUCUGGAUGUGCCUGGCAGCUGAGGCUUAUCUGAUAAUAUGUACUCUUGUUUCCUGGCAUGCCUGCAGGGAACAAAACCAGUAUAGCAUUGCUGUUGUCAUAUAAGAAAUAGCAACAGGAAGCAAAUACUCUAUUAGGAAACAAGCCAAUAUUUCUAAUAGGGUUAGUAUACAAAAAUAGUAACUGCUUUGAAAACAAGCCUUUAGUAAUUAACUCAUAAACAGAAAGUAUGGUUGCUUUGUCAGUCAUCUGUAUGUAGCAGCCUAAUUUACAUAAAAAUACAUAUAUUUUUACUAAUAAUAUGCUUUAGGGUCUAUAAUCUAGGCUGAGAAAAAACUGUGUAAUUAAACGGGGAAGAAAACUCAACACCAUUGAGAACAUACAUCACCUAAUAAUGACUAGAAAUAGUCCUGCCAUGGCACUAAAGAGUGGUUUAAUUAGCCAUACACAGUUUAACCAGUCUAACAUGAGCAUAACUGUUGAAUUAAAUAAGAACUUCUUUAGAUUAAACUAGCCAUUGCCUUCAAGACCACCACAAGAUAAACAAUGCAUCUUAUUUCUAAGAUGCAACUUUUUGGGGAUAUGGGACACAAUCCAGUAAAAAGAUUAAUUUCCAAUUUCCCUGGAUCCCAAAAUAGUAUUGACAGUGAAAACAACACGUGAAAUUUGUCAUCUCACUUCAUAACACAUGAUCAUAAAAUGUUUAUGUUAAACACUUAGAGAACAAACACACACACACACACACACAUAUAUAUAUACACACACACACACACACACAC